GUUUAUCAAAAACAUGUCUUUUUGAAUUUAAUUUAAAGUCUAACCUGCCCACUGAAAUUUUUGAAUGGCCGCAGUAUUUUAACUGUGCAAAGGUAGCAUAAUCAUUAGUCUUUUAAUUGAAGGCUGGUAUGAAUGGUUGAAUGAAAUAUUAACUGUUUCAUAUAAAUUAUUAAUAGAAUUUUAUUUUUUAGUUAAAAAGCUAAAAUUAGUUUAAAAGACGAGAAGACCCUAUAAAUCUUUAUAUUUAGUUAUAUAAUUUUAAUAUUGAUAAUUUUUAUUUUUAUAAAAUUAAAUAUUUUAUUGGGGUGAUAUUAAAAUUUAAUUAACUUUUAAUUUAUUUUAUACAAAAAUUAUUGAAUGUUUGAUCCAAUAAUAUUGAUUAGAAAAUUAAGUUACUUUAGGGAUAACAGCGUAAUUUUUUUAGAGAGUUCAUAUUAAUAAAAAAGUUUGCGACCUCGAUGUUGGAUUAAGAUAAAAUUUAGGUGAAGAAG
rnacentral:rRNA from 1 species